rnacentral:snRNA from 1 species
GAUAAGCUCCAAAGUAUCAAAAUAA